rnacentral:tRNA from 1 species
GUUCCUGUAGUUGAAUUACAACGGUAGUUUUUCGAGUUAUUAGUCUUGGUUGAAGUCCGGGCGGGAAUU